UCUUGAGUAGUUUAUUUAAAAUAACGAUUUGUGGUGUCGUAGAUGUAAUUUUUUUACCUUAGGUA
rnacentral:tRNA from 1 species